rnacentral:rRNA from 1 species
UACGGGGGGGGCAAGCGUUGUUCGGAAUUACUGGGCGUAAAGGGCGCGUAGGCGGUCUGUUAAGUCGGAUGUGAAAACUCUGGGCUCAACCCAGAGCCUGCAUCCGAAACUGGCAGGCUAGAGUUCUGGAGGGGGUAGCGGAAUUCCUGGUGUAGAGGUGAAAUUCGUAGAUAUCGGGAGGAACACCGGUGGCGAAGGCGGCGACCUGGGUAGAUACUGACGCUGAGGUGCGAAAGCGUGGGGAGCAAACAGG